rnacentral:rRNA from 1 species
GACGAACGCUGGCGGCGUGCUUAACACAUGCAAGUCGAAUGGUGAACCAGGGCUUGCCCUGGGGAUCAGUGGCGAACGGGUGAGUAACACGUGGGCAACCUGCCCCUGACUCUGGGAUAACUUCGGGAAACCGAAGCUAAUACCGGAUACGACCUCUGACGGCAUCGUCGGAGGUGGAAAGUUUUUCGGUCAGGGAUGGGCCCGCGGCCUAUCAGCUUGUUGGUGGGGUAAUGGCCCACCAAGGCGACGACGGGUAGCCGGCCUGAGAGGGCGACCGGCCACACUGGGACUGAGACACGGCCCAGACUCCGACGGGAGGCAGCAGUGGGGAAUAUUGCGCAAUGGGCGAAAGCCUGACGCAGCGACGCCGCGUGAGGGAUGAAGGCCUUCGGGUUGUAAACCUCUUUCAGCAGGGACGAAGCGAAAGUGACUGUACCUGCAGAAGAAGCACCGGCUAACUACGUGCCAGCCGCCGCGGUAA